rnacentral:rRNA from 1 species
GAUGAACGCUGGCGGCGUGCUUAACACAUGCAAGUCGAACGGAAAGGCCCCGCUUUUGUGGGGUGCUCGUGUGGCGAACGGGUGUGUAACACGUGUGUAACCUGCCCUUGACUUUGGGAUAACUUCAGGAAACUGGGGCUUAUACCGGAUAGGAGCUCCCGCUGCAUGGUGGGGGUUGGAGAGUUUCGGCGGUUGGGGAUGGACUCGCGGCUUAUCAGCUUGUUGGUGGGGUAGUGGCUUACCAAGGCUUUGACGGGUAGCCGGCCUGAGAGGGUGACCGGCCACAUUGGGACUGAGAUACGGCCCAGACUCCUACGGGAGGCAGCAGUGGGGAAUAUUGCACAAUGGGCGCAAGCCUGAUGCAGCGACGCCGCGUGCGGGAUGACGGCCUUCGGGUUGUAAACCUCUUUCGCCAGUGACGAAGCGUGAGUGACGGUAAUGGGUAAAGAAGCACCGGCUAACUACGUG